GGGGAGACCCCUGCAAGUUGUGUGAUCGAAAUAUCCUCGAAGACUCAAGACCUGAAUCUGAACUUCCUCUCUCAAACCUCAUACCUGAGUGCCGUUUAAGGGACAGUAGUCCGUGUGACCGUUGGCUCGUGAGUUCGUUGUGCCUGCAGGGAAUAGCUGAUGACAGAUGUGUCAGCAAUCAGAAGAGGGCCUCAUCGGCUGUGAAAUACUGUGACAGCUAGGGAGGAUGACUGGCUGGGGUUCCUUGCUCAUGACAGAGAUCCACUGGAGACAUGAGAAGCAAACGGACUCAGCAGCUUUGCAGAUGAGUUUGUUAUUCCUAUGAACUGAAAGGAAACCCUCAAACUGAAAUGAUUCCCCAAUCUAAGAUAGAGAUAACUUGCCUGGUUAUCCUAUCCCACUCUCAGCUCACCUUUGCUCUGUAUUUUUCAACUCUUACGCUCUUCUUAUGGGGAGUCAUUUACAUUGUUUUGACUGAGUGUAUUAAAUGAAGUUCAAU
rnacentral:lncRNA from 1 species